rnacentral:misc_RNA from 1 species
GGUCCAUGAAGCAUUUGAAGGAGAUUCCUUAUCUUCAUUGGACCAUCUAAGUUAAAAGCAUAAGCAUUUAUAUACGGCCGUCCAUGUGUAAGCAAAGAAAAUGUCAAAAAGCUAUUGACGCUCUGUGGAUAUCGAAUAAACUUUCAUUGGAGGAGGGAAAUUUCGCUAUUUGCUUUUUGGAUGUUCCAGCAAUGCGGAGAAGAAAGAUGAUCAUGCCUCGGCCUGAAUUAUUUACUAUUCUGGAAGCGAAACUGUUUUUGCUUUCUGGGAAAUGAUAUUCUGCCAUGCUUAAUCUUUGUUGGUUUGAGAGGUGCAGAUCUAGGUAAUGUCAGCAACCAUGAAGAUGAUAAAAGGAUUGAUUAUAUAGGUUUGAGUCAUAAUGUUAUACUCAUUAUAGUACCAAUUUCUGAAGAAAUAGAAGAAAGGUGAAUAAGGAAAAGGAUUUUGCCAGAAUUGUUGAAGAUUAGAGUUAAUACAAGAACAAUUGAUGAAUGCUAAUGCUCUGUUGUGUUGUUUAAUGCAAUAUGAUAACAGUUGCUGCUGCUAAGAGAAAGUUAAAUUGCUGUUUUAUGCACUAGUAACAAGAGGUUUACGAAUUGUGAGGGUUUUGUAAUUGUCUUUAUAAGAAAUUCCACAGAUGAAGUUUCUUGGUUGCUUUAGGACUGCUAGCUAGUAUACCCCCAAAAUUUCUUCAGUUGAGGAGCCACAUUGUUUGGCCAGAAGAUUUGUCCAUGGAAGUGCUUUCUGUGUCCAUUCCUUUCUCUCAUUUCUUUAAAGGUUAUUGCCUGGCGGUAAUUGGCCUUUUCUUCUGUCGACAUAAUGCAUCAUUCAUUAGUACAAAACUUUACGAUAUGCUGAAGAUUUGGAAAAUUAAAGUUGAAAGGCAUAUGAUACCAUCAACCACAUUGGAAAUGAAGUGCAAAUCUUCUCAUAUUCAAAGAUAUAAAUUUGAGUUGGUUCCAUCACCACGCAAGUUGAUUAAUCAUCACCUCUCACCUCAUGCUCCUUCAGGCUCCAGAGACUGGAAUCUACAAAUAGCACCCGCUUUGGGUACCAAUUUUGAUCAUCCCUCUAUUGGCUUCUGUACCUUCAUUUCCCUCUCUUACAACAGUGACUGACCCAAAAUUUUCCAACAUAGGUCCAUCUGAAAAUUGCCUCAUCAUCACUAAUUUUUGUUAAUUGAUGGUUGAAUUCUAAGAAAUCCCACUCGUUUUGUUGAGUCAAUUUCCUUCUCAGUGUGUGACGUUCGGCCAACCGUCGUGGCUUAUUUUCAUAGCAUGUAAUUAGGAGUUGGGUGAAUGUAUUUAGGAUUUGGAAAGCUGAUCAGGGUUUUAAUCAUAGGAUAAGAUAUGUUUCAAUUUCUACAAUUACCAUUUUUUUU